rnacentral:lncRNA from 1 species
GCUUGGCUCUGCUUACUACUGCUAUAUGGAGGCAGGAAAAAUAAAGUACAAGAGGGUGUCAGGAGUCCUCUGCACUUCCCGAGUGAAGCACUUGCUUCCUUCUGUGACCGCGCUGCAGCAAGUUGCACAGAGGAGCCUUGCUGCAAGGUUUCCAGUCGCCUUCCUGUAAGUGCCUUGCAUUCCCAACCGUCUGGCUAAAAGUCCAGUUGGACAUGAGCUUGACUGAAGCAAGUUAUGAAGUUUUAGUUGAACCAGAAGAACUUAUGUUUUUUGUAGGUAAAAAAUGACCAAAUAUCAGCAAUUUCAUGUGAAUCAGCCUAAUGGAGUUGGCCCUUUAACCCUGCCCCACUGCCUUUCAUUCAGUCCACUCAGGCUGCCUUCAGAUCACCUCAGAUCCCUGGCUUCCUCCUCCCACAUUUCUUGGCAGGAACCCCAUGAUGGAGAGCGAUGGAUGCCCAUGAGAGAAGUCCACAAAGGAAGAGAGAGGAAAUGUCAGAGAGUUCUUUCCUGGGAGAGCCAUGCAACCACGGUGCAUCAGCAGGAGGGUCUCAGGACAAGACCUAUGAAGUGAAGAGGAACAAAGACACAGAGUCCUGCUUUGAGCCCAGCCUCCUCUCCACAGAGAUGUGAGCUCUGCUGUCCUCUUCCCAGGCUGUCCUUGUGUGGGGAUGGCUUUGGGGAGGCAGGGGCAGGUCCCUGAGAUCCCACCUCUGGCUGAUUUGCAGGAAGAGAGGAGAUCGCAGAGAAAAAUCUGCACAGCCUCUGAUGAGAGCCUUUCUCUCUCUCUCUCUCACACACACGUGCACACAAUGCCCUUUUUAGCUUGGCCUUUAUUGACC